GCUCUUGUGGCGCAAUUGGCUAGCGCGUCUGACUGUUAAUCAGGAGGUUGGUGGUUCGAGCCCACCCAGGAGCG